AUUGAACGCUGGCGGCAUGCCUUACACAUGCAAGUCGAACGGCAGCACGGGGGCAACCCUGGUGGCGAGUGGCGAACGGGUGAGUAAUACAUCGGAACGUGUCCUGUAGUGGGGGAUAGCCCGGCGAAAGCCGGAUUAAUACCGCAUACGCUCUACGGAGGAAAGGGGGGGAUCUUAGGACCUCCCGCUACAGGGGCGGCCGAUGGCAGAUUAGCUAGUUGGUGGGGUAAAGGCCUACCAAGGCGACGAUCUGUAGCUGGUCUGAGAGGACGACCAGCCACACUGGGACUGAGACACGGCCCAGACUCCUACGGGAGGCAGCAGUGGGGAAUUUUGGACAAUGGGGGCAACCCUGAUCCAGCAAUGCCGCGUGUGUGAAGAAGGCCUUCGGGUUGUAAAGCACUUUUGUCCGGAAAGAAAACGCCGUGGUUAAUACCCGUGGCGGAUGACGGUACCGGAAGAAUAAACACCGGCUAACUACGU
rnacentral:rRNA from 1 species